CAUAGAUUAUAUUUAAACAAGCAUUUGCAAAUCAAAAAAUUAUCACGAUCAUGAGAUAAAUCCAAAUAUGCCCCUAAGCAAAAGAGAAAAAAAUGAAUAGAAAAGAAAUGACUAGAAAAUUGGAUGAGACAAGCACAAUACAACAAUAUAGAAUAAUGAAAGCAUGCGUAAAGAAAUUUAUUUCCCAAUUUUGAUAGGUAUAAGCAAGAUAAGAAUCAUAGAAUACAGGACAUAUGAAGACAGUUUUAUAAUUGAAACAAAAACCGACAAAGGAGAGGGAGAGAAAGAGGGAAAAGAGAGGAGGGGAGGGAGGG
rnacentral:lncRNA from 1 species